CAGCCGAUCCGAUUUAGACAAAUAUGUUUAAAAUCAAAAUUUAAGGAGAAAUUCCAGUCAACGACCAAAAUCCUUAACAGGGCUCCAACCACAUUCCAUUCGUAAACAACCAGAAAAAUAGUCCAUCCACGUACAAAAACUAGGCAAAAUAUCAUCUCCAUGGGUAAAAUAGCUGCAAUGAAACUAGCAAGCAAACAUGGAAGGCCCAAAAGUUGAUGGAAUCAUAGCUCCGUUAGAAUAGUAUCAGCCCUUGAUGCUAGAGGACAAAAUGUGCAUGUACUAUGUGGCGGCAGAAUGAGAGAGAACUAAAAAGCUAUUGCCUGCUGGUGCCAUUUUAACACGUCAACCUAUAUAGCAGUAAAUUCCAUAGGUUUCAUUUCUCUGUCCUGGCCUUCGCCCAGUGAAACCAAUAUCUUCUACCUCUUGAAACGAUGACGACUGCUGAUUACUUAAACAGAUCUCAGAGUGCCCAACCAUGGUUUCACAACGCACAGGAAGAAUCUUAUUUCCAUUUCCAACAUUAUCCUCAAAAUUCAUUUUACAGUCUUUUCCUGCAGUUGCAUGCAAUAGUUCUCCGUUUACACCAUUUCCUUCACCUAUCCCUUCAGAUGGUUCUUGCAUAUUGAGACAACUGACAGUCUCAACAAAUGCCUUGCCCUCCACAGUAACAGAUUCUACAGAUAAAUGUCGUUUGCUUCCUUUACUAUCUCCAAGUUCUUCAGUUAACUUUUCUGAUUCAUAAGCAUUAUCAGUUGUGCUACUCAUCAUGCCGCUAUCAGCAGCUGGUAAAGCUUUAUUCUCAAGUUCAACAUUUUGAAAUGACUUUUUACUAUCCCCAUCACAGUCAAGUGCAACAUAAGCUAUUCCACCUACAGAUUUUUCUUGAAAAUUGGAAUAAACAGUAUUAUCAUGAUUCGGUGAUGAUCCAUCAUCCUCAAAAUUCUUGGAAGUUGAAUGCUCUUCAUCUUUACAGCUUUCACCUUUCCAAAAAACUCAAAAAGGCACAUGUUGGAUGCCAACAUUAUGUGAUCCUUCUUUCCUCUCUUUAUCUGUAUUGGACAGCACAAAACUUUUCACAUUCUCCUCUUUCAUAAUUUGAGUCUUUGUCAACUUCUACAUUCUUCUCUUCACAGCUAAAAUGAACAUUUUGCUCAUUAACUACAUUGUUUCCGAUGCCAAAAUGCGGUAACUCAAAGACUUGUGAUAUAUUGCCUUUUUUAUCCUGGCUUCCGACCAUGACAUUGCCAGAUGAUUCAUUCAUGCUGAAGUUUGGCCUAAUCAACUUUCUCCUUUUUUGCUGCCCAUCUGAGAAGCCAUGGGUUUCAACAGUAAGAAUGGAGCUCCCAGGAUUGGCAUCAUCUUCAGCCUUUCUCACUUCACUGCGACGUUUGAAAUCCACAAAAGGUAUCUGUUCUUCUAUUUGGACCUCUUCUCCAGCUGGAGUCAACAUUUCUUCUUAUCUUCUUUGUGAGAUCACUGGUCAUCUGCUUGAAACAUUUUUCCCUCCUCACCCAUUUGCAAUGACUCUGGUUCAACAUGGUCAUGACUUCAUCCAUUGAUGAAUCCAUAUCGCAUUCAUGAUGUUGAACUGGAGUACCAUUGCCUUGUUCACAUACUUUUGGAGCAAAGGACAAGCGAGAAAACACACUUUUUCUCUUCUUCUGACAAACGGAAUACAUUUUCUCUGAAAGUUGCAUUGAUGAGUCAUCCUCAUAGUCUAUGCUUCUAGAUUUACCCUUUUUCAACACAGGAACAUCACCCACAAAUGCUUCAUUGUUUUCAAAAUGAAGAAGUUCACACAAUUUAUCCACUGAUGAAUCCGUACUGCAAUCAUCAUGUUGAAUUUGGUUACCAUUACCUUGUUCACAUAUUUUUGGAGGCAAGGCCAAGCGAGAAAAUACACUUACUUUCUUCUUCUGACAAACCGAAUACAUGUUUUCUGAGUAAGGACAGAUAUCCAGGUCCAUUAAUUUGUCUUCAUGGCAGUCUGCAAAAGCUUCAUUGUUUUCUACGUGCAUGAGUUUAUGUUCAUGUUUGUCUUGUGAAGCAACAGGACACCUACAAUCAAGCAUACUGGAAUUGUAGGAAAAAGAUGCACCCUUACCCGUUCUUUCAUUAUUUCCACUUUCUGACAAGAGAAAAGGAUCUGAAGAGGGAUUUGGAACAGAAAAGCCCUUGGAGCCUUCAUACUCAUAGGACACUCUCACCAUGUUUUUAGAAUAUUUGGGCCCUGGGAAAGGCAUACCGGCCCUGUCAGAGUACUGGUAUGGAACAGGACAACGUGACAGAACAUUUGGAACAUUAGCAGAUAAACCAGAACUGAUGAUCCCAGAUCUGCUAGUACAUUUCGACUCCAUAUAUGAUGAUAAUGAUUCGUUUUCAAGGCAAGGAAAUAUACUGUUGUGAAGAGUACAUUCAAGCAACGAUGAGUGCCUAUAAUUAAGGACAGAGGCAUCAGUGUAAUAAGGUAAAGCAGUAAGAGCGCUACUAAUGGUUGCAUCGCCACAAGUUGUUGAAUUAAAAAUAUUCAAGUUUUGUGACUCCAUUGACAGCUGAUGCUGACUAUUAACCAAAGAAUUUUCUUCAAAUUUGGACUUGCUAGAAUGCACGGGUGAAAUAGACUGAUAUAAACAAGGGUACUCAGAUGAGAUUUGCAUCCCAAAACCAUUUUGCUCAUUCCACUUGUCUUCUAGCCCAGAAAUCAUUCCAGUAGUGAUAUGAUCAGCCUUGCUUGGAGUGGCAUGCCCAAGAUUGUUGGUCAUAACAACUGACAUAGGAUCAAUAUCCACAUUAUGCUCAAUUCGCAUUGCAUUUCUUGUUACAAACCGGAUAUCAUAAAAAAAUCUUCUCACUCCCAUUGGGUCCCCAACCUGCUCAUUUGAAACUAGCGGCCCAGACUCAUGGCCCAAUUUAAGCCCAUUUCCUGCAGAAGCACUCACAAACCUAUCAUUACUGAUUCAAUAGUUGUUAAUGGAGUCACCAGAGAAAUUGGCCUCUGCAUUUUGUUCAUCUUCCCCGUCAUCAAUUAUUACAUUGCUGCCCUCAGUAACAGCAUUUCUAGCCUUACUCAUAGGGCAUCCAACCUCAAAAUUGGUGAAAUGUCUCUGAAGACAUUUAUCUUUUAACUUUCUCAAACUGAAAAAUAACAAGAGCUUGCGAACCUAUGAUUACAGAAAUUUACAGUCAGAAAAACUGAUUAAAUACAAUAUAUAUAAAACUCUUCAUCUCAUUUACGUCUCAUAUUGAUAUGGAAAGAACCUGUUUCUCAGACAGCCCAAAGUUAAACUUGUAUGCUGAAAAAUAAUUUUCUCUGAUUGCACCACGAAAUUCACUUUCAGGGAGCGGGCUGUGCAGGGUAUUGCUUUCCAGAAGAUUUGAAGGCAUGGGGCACAAUGUUAAUCGCACCAUCAGUGGAUGCCUGAAAUACGCCAUGAAGUUCUCUCCUCUCAAAUUCAAACAGAAAUAAGAUCAUUCCAGCUUUAAUCUGCUUUACAAAGUGUGCUUGCCCCAUUGGAAGGCCUAAUAGUUUCCUUCUAAAACAUUCUUUCUUUGUCUCAAGGUUAGAAAUAAAGAUGGCACCAUAGUCAGGAAUUUUUCCAGCGACACUAUUCUUGUCCACAUCGACUUCCCUUGAUGCCAUCAUGACAUGCGAGAAGGAGGAAGGAGAAACGUUGAACUUUGGAAAGGAGAACUUUGUGAUUAUCG
rnacentral:misc_RNA from 1 species